rnacentral:tRNA from 1 species
GGAGGGUACAGCUCAGUGGUAGAGCGCAUGCCUGGCAUGCACGCUGUCCUGGGUUCAAUCCCCAGCACCUCCA